rnacentral:lncRNA from 1 species
CACCACUGUUGCCGGGAAUGUUGCUUCAGCAUUUCUGCUGUCUAGACAUACCAUUAUUUUGCCUGUGCAAUGCUGCCUGAGCCAUCUCCUGCCCAUCAAUCCCCCAAGAGGCUUCUACCAGACAUGCCGGGAAGCUGCCAUACACACACUGACAGCACCUUUUGGAGGAAGGCGUUUCAGUAUAACAGGAGGAAAAAAAUAAAAUCAGGAGGCUUAAAUGACUUAUGCAGGGUCCCAGAGGAGCAUGGGGUAAAAGCCGGCUGAUUUCCCAGGCAGAAAUAAAGGCUGAGGGUAACACAGGAGCCAGGAUAAAAGCACAGAGGUGCCAACAAGGUGACAAUGCAUUUGCAGUGCUUUGGUGCACAAGGGCUUCCUAUGCUGCUCCCUCUUCUGCAGGGCAAGGCCAAUUUAGUUUCAAACAGCAAAUUUAUAUUCAAAUACAGCUCUGUUCCUUUCCCCCCUGCCUUUGGCAUGACAAAGAGGAAAGCUGUUGAGCAUGAAGCAGAGCUUCCCAUGUUUUGAUCCAGCUCUACAUCCAUAUAUUUGAUGCUGUUUCUUCUGAUUCUUUCUGCCUACCAGGUUUCCUCCUUCAGGAACUGAGGCCGACAAGCCUAUUUAAUCUUUCAUAUUGGCACAGUGAUAACUUCUUUUUAAAUAUUUUAUAUUGUUGUACUGAUAAAGAACAUAAGACAAAACUUGGCAUGAACACAGUCCAGAGGAGAAUCUGCUUAAAAAUAAAACACUUGGGAGAAUGGAAGGAAACAAGUAGCCAUGUGGCUGAAAACAAAAUUAAUUUAAGGAGCUGGGCAAAAAUUUGCUUUAUGGUAAUGAAAGCUCAGGUUCUGCAGGACUUGGAAGUUGCCAAGUACCACGAUUUGACAAGAAGAUCACCAGAGCCAGCUGCAGGGCUGAUGCUUACCAAGAACACAGGAAGGAAAACAAUGCCAACACAGCCCAUUAGCCAAGAGUCUGGUAGUAAGAAGCCCUGCCAAAACAUGCAGUGCCCAAAAGCUUGCAAACCUAGCCUGAGCCAGCAGCAAGGACUCAUCUCUUCAGGGGUAGGACUGGAUGAUGAUAUUUACUAUUUCCUUAGCAUGAGAUUAGUCCCUUUAUUUAAUUUUGAAAAAGAAGUUUGUCAUAACUCUCCAUCACAGAAAAUGAAAGGUUUAAGGUACUGCUGACACCUCCUGGAAAACUUUGAAAAACCUCCUAGGUCACAUGAAAAUAAAGCAAUGCCUCUAUCACGCUUUUGCCUGCUCUUUUAAUCCUUGCUACAGGACUUUUCGUGUAGGUCCGUCAGCCAAGGUUAAAAAACCAAACUUAUAAACAAGACAAAAAUGAUUAUUACUACAGUUAGCAAUUUGUUCCAGAUCUUGUUCUUCCACGCUACAUUCUCUCU